rnacentral:rRNA from 1 species
UACGUAGGGUGCGAGCGUUAAUCGGAAUUACUGGGCGUAAAGCGUGCGUAGGUGGUUCGUUGUGUCUGUGGUGAAAGCCCCGGGCUUAACCUGGGAAUGGCCAUGGAAACUGGCGAGCUGGAGUCUGGCAGAGGGGGUGGAAUUCCGGCGUGUAGCAGUGAAAUGCGUAGAGAUGCGGAGGAACACCGAUGGCGAAGGCAGCCCCCUGGGCUAAGACUGACGCUGAGGCACGAAAGCGUGGGGAGCAAACAGG